rnacentral:rRNA from 1 species
GUGUCAGCCGCCGCGGUAAUACGUAGGUGGCAAGCGUUGUCCGGAAUUAUUGGGCGUAAAGCGCGCGCAGGCGGCCUUUUAAGUCUGAUGUGAAAGCCCACGGCUCAACCGUGGAAGGUCAUUGGAAACUGAAAGGCUUGAGUACAGAAGAGGAAAGCGGAAUUCCACGUGUAGCGGUGAAAUGCGUAGAGAUGUGGAGGAACACCAGUGGCGAAGGCGGCUUUCUGGUCUGUAACUGACGCUGAGGCGCGAAAGCGUGGGGAGCAAACAGGAUUAGAAACCCCCGUAGUCC